CCUACGGGGGGCAGCAGUGAGGAAUAUUGGUCAAUGGCCGAGAGGCUGAACCAGCCAAGUCGCGUGAGGGAAGAAUGUCCUAUGGAUUGUAAACCUCUUUUGUCAGGGAGCAAAGUCACCCACGUGUGGGUGUUGGAGAGUACCUGAAGAAAAAGCAUCGGCUAACUCCGUGCCAGCAGCCGCGGUAAUACGGAGGAUGCGAGCGUUAUCCGGAUUUAUUGGGUUUAAAGGGUGCGUAGGCGGAUUUUUAAGUCAGCGGUAAAAUGUCCGGGCUCAACCCGGGCCGACCGUUGAAACUGGGGAUC
rnacentral:rRNA from 1 species